AGACGGAUAUCCGGUCGCUGAGCUUUUCUCUACAGUACUCAAAACUAUGGGACUUGCCUCAGGGCUCGCCCCAAUCAUAGCUUAUGAAUGCUUCUUCUUCUUCUUUGUAGCCUCCUUGCUAGGAGAGUAGCCCAAUUAUUAUGGGAGGUGGUUACCGCCAAAAUUAGCAGUAAAAAAUAUAGGUGUGUUUAAAAAAAUAAUGGUGUUUUUUUUCCAGAGAUGUUUUAAAAAAUGGUGCUGUUUUUUUUACGGAGGGUUUUAAAAAUGGUGCUGUUUUUUACAGAGGUGUGUUUAAAUGGUGCUGUUUUUUUUUACAGAGGUGAAUUUUUUCAGAGAGGUGCGUUUUGUAGAGAGGUGCAAUUUUUGGAGAGGUGCGUUUUAUGAGGUGCCAUUUUGUCCAACUCCACCCCAGAGGAGGCUGGAACCACUUGACCUUAGGUCACUAAUUGGAUUUAUCCAAACUUCUCUUGCAAGCCUAGAUUUUAGUGUCUGUCAGUUUAAAACGUUAUUUUUCAGGGGGGGGGUCAAAUUUAGGAAUUAUUAAGCCACUAUAUUCACACAUCAACAGCUCAGAUCAAACAAAGGCAGAAGAAAAUUCCCGCGGUAUUUUAGAUGCUACCUAUCACAUUGCAGAAAAGAAAAGGUGUCGUUGUGGUGAUUGUGAGGGAUGGACUACUGAUGACUGCGGACAGUGCCGCUUUUGUAAGGAUAAGCCAAAAAAUGGAGGGAAAGGGACUUUAAAACAAAGCUGUUCAAAGAGGAAAUGUCUGCUAUUGAAAUCCAUUGCAUACGUUCACGAACAGUUCCCUGGAAAGGUCACUCAAACCAGAGGCAUUACCCCUCAAGCUGAUGAUUUCACUCAACUAAACAUGGUGCUUUCAAAACAGGUCACUCAAACCAAAGGCAUUACCCCUCAAGCUGAUGAUUUCACUCAUCUAAACAUGGUGCUUUCAAAACAGGGACGUAAGCUUUAUCAUGUCGCAGGGGAUGGAAACUGUUUUUUUAGGGCUCUAUCUUAUAUUAUACACAAAACUGAGGGUCAUCAUGCUUCUAUUCGAGCAAGUCUUGUACUUUUCACUGAACUAAACACAUUCGAACAGUACUGCACCACUGAAAGUAUGAAGGAUCAUAUCCAGCGCAUGAGGCAUGAACGGGUGUGGGCUACAUAAUUAGAAGCAUACGUUGCUGCGCAUCUUGUUUUUGAAGAACAGUGUACAUAAUAUACAGCCAAAAGAGUGGAAAUGGUGAACGUUAUUGGCAAAAAAUCGACCCCCUUCCACCACACACACUAACGUCACUUCCAAUAGAAUACAAGAUAGAAUUACACCCUUUUAUGGCUCACCUUGAGCUAUGCGAUAUGCCAUAUCAACUGGUGCCACUAUGAUGUUAUAUAUUACACCUAUGGAGAGUAUCCACCUAUGGAGAGUA